GCCGGGCAUUGUGGUGGGUGCCUGUAGUCCUAGAUACUCAGGAGGCUGAGGCAAGAGAAUUGCUUAAACCCAAGAGUUUGAAGUUGCUGUGAACCGUGACACUACGGCACUCUACCAAAGGUGACAUAGUGAGAGUCUGUCUCAAAAAAAGAAACAGAGUCUCAUUUUGUCACCCUUGGUAGAGUGCCAUAGCAUCAUAGCUAAUAGCAACUUCAAACUCCUGGUCUUAAGUGAUCCUCUUGU
rnacentral:sRNA from 1 species